rnacentral:misc_RNA from 1 species
AAGACUAUAGACCUGCGGAGUACCUGCGGAGGGAUCAUUACCGAGUUAGGGUAGUCACUCACUGCCCGACCUCCCAACCCUGUGUCUACCACACUUUGUCGUUGCUUCGGCGGACCGGUUGACCAACUGGUCGUGACCGCCGGGGGCUGGCUCUGUCCCCCCUGGAGAGCGUCCGUCGAUGGCCCAACCACAAAACUCUUGUACCGAAACGUGUCGUCUGAAUUAUACUUGAGAAAUCAA